rnacentral:rRNA from 1 species
UACAGAGACUGCAAGCGUUAUUCGGAUUCACUGGGCGUAAAGGGUGCGCAGGCGGUCGCGUGUGUCAGGUGUGAAAGCCCGGAGCUUAACUCCGGAAUUGCGCCUGAAACUACGUGACUAGAGCAUUGGAGAAGGGUAGCGGAAUUCACGGUGUAGCAGUGAAAUGCGUAGAUAUCGUGAGGAACACCAGAGGCGAAGGCGGCUACCUGGACAAUUGCUGACGCUCAGGCACGAAAGCGUGGGGAGCAAAAGGG